GCUCUCGUGGCGUAGUUGGUUAUCGCGUCUGCUUUACACGCAGAAGGUCCUCGGUUCGAACCCGAGCGAGAGCA
rnacentral:tRNA from 1 species